rnacentral:rRNA from 1 species
GAGCGGGAUUAAACUCGCGAUGCAUCUAGAUUAGAGUUUGAUCCUGGCUCAGAUUGAACGCUGGCGGCAGGCUUAACACAUGCUAGUCGAGCGGUAGCACAGGGGAGCUUGCUCCCUGGGUGACGAGCGGCGGACGGGUGAGUAAUGUCUGGGAAACUGCCUGAUGGAGGGGGAUAACUACUGGAAACGGUAGCUAAUACCGCAUAACGUCGCAAGACCAAAGAGGGGGACCUUCGGGCCUCUUGCCAUCAGAUGUGCCCAGAUGGGAUUAGCUAGUAGGUGGGGUAAUGGCUCACCUAGGCGACGAUCCCUAGCUGGUCUGAGAGGAUGACCAGCCACACUGGAACUGAGACACGGUCCAGACUCCUACGGGAGGCAGCAGUGGGGAAUAUUGCACAAUGGGCGCAAGCCUGAUGCAGCCAUGCCGCGUGUGUGAAGAAGGCCUUCGGGUUGUAAAGCACUUUCAGCGAGGAGGAAGGUGGUGAGCUUAAUACGUUCAUCAAUUGACGUUACUCGCAGAAGAAGCACCGGCUAACUCCGUGCCAGCAGCCGCGGUAAUACGGAGGGUGCAAGCGUUAAUCGGAAUUACUGGGCGUAAAGCGCACGCAGGCGGUUUGUUAAGUCAGAUGUGAAAUCCCCGGGCUCAUCCUGGGAACUGCAUUUGAAACUGGCAGCUAGAGUCUCGUAAAGGGGGGUAGAAUUCCAGGUGUAGCGGUGAAAUGCGUAGAGAUCUGGAGGAAUACCGGUUGGCGAAUGCGGCCCCCUGCACGAUGACUGACGCUCAGG